rnacentral:rRNA from 1 species
GAGUAGUAAGAGUUAAGAUCUUUAAACUCAAAAAAUUUGGCGGUAUUUUAUCUUAUUAGAGGAACCUGUUUAAUAAUUGAUAUUCCACAACUUAAACUUACUUCUAUUAAAUUAUUUGUAUACCGCCGUCAUGAAUCUAUUCAGAAAUUAUUUUCAAAAUUUAUUAUAUAAGAUAUGUUAGGUCAAGGUGCAGUAUGUAGAGAGCAAAAUGGGUUACAUUAUUUAACAUGAAUGAAAAAAUAUCACUAUUUGAAUAAAAAAUAGGAUUUAAAAGUAAAAAAGUUAUUACAGACUUUAUAUGAAUAAAGAUUCUAAAAUAUG